rnacentral:rRNA from 1 species
CCUACGGGCGGCAGCAGUGGGGAAUAUUGGUCAAUGGGCGAUAGCCUGAACCAGCCAAGUAGCGUGAAGGAUGACUGCCCUAUGGUUGGUAAACUUCUUUUAUAUGGGAAUAAAGUGCAGCAUGUAUACUGCUUUGCAUGUACCUUAUGAAUAAGGAUCGGCUAACUCCGUUCCAGCAGCCGCGGUAAUACGGAGGGUCCGAGGGUUACCCGGAUUUAAUGGGUUUAACGUGAGCGUAGGCGGGUUGUUAAGUCAGUGGUGAAAGUUUGCGGCUCAACCGUAAAAUUGCAGUUGAUACUGGCAAACUUGAGUACAGUAGAGGUUGGCGGAAUUCGAGGUGUAGCGGUGAAAUGCGUAGAUAUCACGAAGAACUUCGAUUGCGAAGGCAGCUAGCUGGACUGUAACUGACGCUGAGGCUCGAAAGUGUGGGUAUCAAACAGGAUUAGAUACCCUGGUAGUC